GAAAUCAGUUCAGCACUAAGUCACUUUGUCUAUAUGGCAAAUGUGAGAUGCAGUGUAUGGAACAUCAAUAUUCUAGUAUGAGAAAUUAACGAUUUAAGUCCUUCUUAAAUGAGGCCAUUUACCCAUAGAGGGUGCCAGGCCCGUAUAACGUUAAUGAUUAUUAGAUGGUGUUUCCAAAGAGUCGUGUUGCUUGAUAGUGCAGCACUAAGUGGGUGGUAAACUCCAUCUAAAACUAAAUAUAACCAUGAGACCGAUAGUAAACAAGUACCGUGAGGGAAAGUUGAAAAGAACUCUGAAUAGAGAGUUAAAUAGUACGUGAAACUGCUUAGAGGUUAAGCCCGAUGAACCUGAAUAUCCGUUAUGGAAAAUUCAUCAUUAGACUUGUAAUAUUUAAACAAUAUUAUAAUAAUAGUGUGCAUUUUUUCCAUAUAAGGACAUUGUAAUCUAUUAGUUAAAAGUAAUUUAUCAAAAAAUUUUAGAUAAAUGUUUAUUUAAAUUAAAGUGCUUGCAUUUUAACAUAAAAUAAAUGUCUUUAAUUUGAUAAAGUGCUGAUAGAUUUAUAUGAAUACAGUGCGUUAAUUUUUCGGAAUUAUAUAAUGGCAUAAUUAUCAUUGAUUUUUGUGUUUAUUAUAUGCACUUGUAUGAUUAACAAUGCGAAAGA
rnacentral:rRNA from 1 species